rnacentral:rRNA from 1 species
AACGAACGCUGGCGGCAGGCCUAACACAUGCAAGUCGAGCGCCCAGCAAUGGGAGCGGCAGACGGGUGAGUAACACGUGGGAACCUUCCCUAUAGUACGGAAUAUACCAGGGAAACUUGGAGCAAUACCGUAUACGCCCGAGAGGGGAAAGAUUUAUCGCUAUAGGAUGGGCCCGCGUUGGAUUAGCUAGUUGGUGAGGUAACGGCUCACCAAGGCAACGAUCCAUAGCUGGUUUGAGAGAAUGACCAGCCACACUGGGACUGAGACACGGCCCAGACUCCUACGGGAGGCAGCAGUGGGGAAUCUUGGACAAUGGGCGCAAGCCUGAUCCAGCCAUGCCGCGUGAGUGAUGAAGGCCUUAGGGUUGUAAAGCUCUUUUGCCGGGGACGAUAAUGACGGUACCCGGAGAAUAAGCUCCGGCUAACUCCGUGCCAGCAGCCGCCGUAA